ACGUAGGGGGCGAGCGUUGUCCGGAAUUACUGGGCGUAAAGGGUGCGUAGGUGGCCUUUUAAGUUGGAUGUGAAAUACCCGAGCUUAACUUGGGGGGUGCAUCUAAUACUGGGAGGCUAGAGUGCAGGAGAGGGAAGCGGAAUUCCUAGUGUGGCGGUGAAAUGCUUAGAUAUUAGGAGGAACGCCAGUGGCGAAGGCAGCUUUCUGGUCUAUAACUGACACUGAGGCACGAAAGCGUGGGGAGCAAACAG
rnacentral:rRNA from 1 species